GACAGCCUAAGCCACAUGUUCCAUUAAUUUUUGUUGAUAACAUCAUAUAAUGAAUUAAUAUGAAACAAAAUGAUCCAAGCUUUCAAAGUAAAUCUUUGACAUGAACUUAAUUGUAUAUGGUUCUGAACUUUCAUGCAUCCUGGAAAUGUUAAUGGCCUUAACCAGAAAAUAUGAGGAUAUGGACAAGGGAGAUUGUGUAUAAAUUUAGAAGUCAUGCCUCUAGUCUUUUAAAGCUCAGGCAUUUGUGGAGGAUGGAUGUGGACUUUUUUUU
rnacentral:misc_RNA from 1 species